rnacentral:rRNA from 1 species
AUUGAACGCUGGCGGCAGGCCUAACACAUGCAAGUCGAGCGAGCGGCGGACGGGUGAGUAAUGUAUGGGGACUGCCCGAUAGAGGGGGAUAAAUACUUGAAACGGUAGCUAAUAACGCAUACUAUCGGAUAACCCAUGUGGGAUUAGCUAGUAGGGGAGGUAAUGGCUUACCUAGGCGACGAUCCCGAGCUGGUCUGAGAGGAUGAUCAGCCACACUGGGACUGAGACACGGCCCAGACUCCUACGGAGGCAGCAGUGGGGAAUAUUGCACAAUGGGCGCAAGCCUGAUGCAGCCAUGCCGCGUGUAUGAAGAAGGCCCUAGGGUUGUAAAGUACUUUCAGUCGGGAGGCGUUACCGACAGAAGAAGCACCGGCUAACUCCGUGCCAGCAGCCGCGGUAAUUC